GGCACAAUGGCCGAGCGGUCUAAGGCGACGCACUCAAGUUGCGUUCUCUUCGGGGGCGUGAGUUCGAAUCUCACUUGUGUCA
rnacentral:tRNA from 1 species